UUGUCCGGAUUUACUGGGCGUAAAGCGCACGUAGGCGGAUCGUUAAGUCGGGGGUGAAAUCCUGGAGCUCAACUCCAGAACUGCCUUCGAUACUGGCGCUCUCGAGUCCGGGAGAGGUGAGUGGAACUGCGAGUGUAGAGGUGAAAUUCGUAGAUAUUCGCAAGAACACCAGUGGCGAAGGCGGCUCACUGGCCCGGUACUGACGCUGAGGUGCGAAAGCGUGGGGAGCAAACAGG
rnacentral:rRNA from 1 species